AACCUCCGCAAUGUGAGAAAUCGCGACGGGGGGAUCCCAAGUGCCAUUCUUAACGGGAUGGCUUUUCAUUAGUGUAAAAAGCUUUUGGAAUAAGAGCUGGGCAAGACCGGUGCCAGCCGCCGCGGUAACACCGGCAGCUCUAGUGGUAGCAAUUUUUAUUGGGCCUAAAGCGUCCGUAGCCGGUUUAAUAAGUCUCUGGUGAAAUCCUGUAGCUUAACUGUGGGAAUUGCUGGAGAUACUAUUAGACUUGAGACCGGGAGAGGUUAGAGGUACUCCCAGGGUAGAGGUGAAAUUCUGUAAUCCUGGGAGGACCGCCUGUUGCGAAGGCGUCUAACUGGAACGGUUCUGACGGUGAGGGACGAAAGUUAGGGGCGCGAACCGGAUUAGAUACCCGGGUAGUCCUAACUGUAAACGAUGCGGACUUGGUGUUGGGGUGGCUUUGAGCUGCUCCAGUGCCGAAGGGAAGCUGUAAGUCCGCCGCCUGGGAAGUACGGUCGCAAGACUGAAACUUAAAGGAAUU
rnacentral:rRNA from 1 species